UUUGAGAAAAACUAAUUACGGAAUUGAUUUUUUUCUCAAUUACUGUGUUUGGUUCUGUAAAAGCCUUUGAUCGAUGUAAAACCAAUUACGGUCAACGUAAAAUAAACUCCUUUGGCCCGUAAAACAACUUAUCAUGGAAAAAAUCGGGAAUUCAUUUUACGAACCAACUGCAUCCCAUGUUUCUUUGCCUUUGAUCUCCUUCAUUCUCCGAUCAACUAUCACCCGUCGUCUUUUCACCAACAACAAAAUCAGCAGAUUUUUCCAGCAAAAUCAAGGAGCAACUCUAUGAUUCCAAGGUAAUAUUUCGAAUCCCUAAUGCUCUUCCCCCCCUUUUGCUUUCCUCUUUGAUUUCCAAGGGUAAAUCUCUUUAAAAGAUUACCAUUUAAGAGGUCGAACUCAGCUUUUAGGGGAACUCAGCUUUUUGAGUCUAAAUCAUUUCCAGAUUACCAUUCGCGGAUUCUACUCGCUCGCAAAGCGAGUCCGGUGUUAUCGCCAACUUGUUCUUCUUACUGGAGUCCACCUGCACAUUUGAUUAAAAUUUUCUCCAAUACGAGGAUCGACCUUUGAACCUGGCAUAUCAUUGAUAACAAAAGGGAAACGAGGUACGUUUUUCAAUAUAUGAUAUAUGACAUAAAUUCUUAAUAGUAUAUCGACAUAAAUUACAUCCACUUUAGCUUAGGUAAAAGCUUAAAUGUAAUAUGAACUUUAGCUUUAGGUAAAAGCUAAAACGUAAUAUGAACUUUAGCUUUAGGUUAACUAAAUUCUAAUAAAGCUAUCAUUUGGAACAUUUAGGAUGAGACAAUGGAGAUGUGAAACUGUUAAAAAAAAGAAAUAAGGAAUAUAAGAUCUUGUGUUGUCUUGUAUUUGGCAUUAAAACUCACCAACUGACUAACCAAAUCUAGAUGCAGCGAUAACUAGUUUUAUUAUGAAUUAGACAAUAUCUUUGUAUUAUUAUGGUUGGAUAAUAUCGUUAUCUUAAUGUUUGUAAUCACAACAUGAUUUGCAUCUUUAGAUUAUUUUUUCUGCUAUUUUUGGGGACAUGGGUCUUUAAAUUUUGAGAUUUGUUGUUUCUUCACUGUGCUAUUUUGCUUCUUAGUCAGGGCUUCCUUGGGGGUUUCCUUUCAUUUGCUGGGUGCUAUAGCUUGUGAUGUGAAUUUGAAGUAGGUGUGGUUAGAUUUUUGUUUAUACAAUAAUGAGAAACAAUGGGUUUUGCUUCAUUUGAAUUGAAAGUGGAAGUGUUAGUUUCCCUGAUAUGUUUUACGCAACCUAAGUAUUUACCCCAAGUUGAGCUUCUUUCAUAUGCUAAAGCAUUAUUUAUACCAUAUGAGACAGUAAAAGAGGUUUAUGUUUGAUCCCAGUUCAUGUUAUUGAAUGUCAUUCAUGUUGCUAAGAGUAAGAUAAUGAGGGAAGAAAAAUAAUCGGUAUUAGUUGAGGGUUCCGGUCUUGCCUCAUAUUUUUUUUUGAUUAAUUAAAAGUAAUAAAUUACCUUGAACCUUUUGUUUUAGUUGGAUAUCCCAUACAUUAGGGGAAAAAACUUCAGCUUGACAUUAAAUAUGCAAGGGAAGUGACCCAAAAAUAGCCGUCAACUUGGCAUAUAUCUGAUUUGAUCUUGAAGAUAACCACCUACAACACCACCUUGAUUAUCACCAUCAUAGACACUACUGGGAUCUUCAGUAGCAGCUGUUUGAUAUUGGAUGCUAGCUGUGCAUUAGCAUCAUCGUUACCAUAUUCAGAUACCGAGCUGUGUUGGUGGGUCCAUGGGAUGAAGUAUAAGAAGAAGCAGAGGCUGCAGCAGCUCUAUCAGCGCUCCGUUUAAGCCUACGCAUGUGAUUAAGAAUCGAAACACACUCGUUAAGGGCAAGCUCAAUGCCACAGUUUGCUUUCAUUGCUGAAAGCUUCUCCCAAGUGCAUCUUCUCCCUUGGUUGACUGCCUUUUGAAGCGCAUCACCAUUGCUGCCAACCAGAAUAGAACCAUCGACCUGCUGGUUUAAGCGCAACGUGCACAACCACAAAGGAGUAUGGAGGUUCGCUUGCCUCUUUUAUAUCAUAUGGUAUU